UUCUUAUCUAGAGAGAUGGAGGGACUGGCCCGUUGAAAUCUCAGCAACCUGGAUGGUAAUCCAAGGUGCUAAAUCCAGCAAGCAAUGCUUGAGAGAUGAGAG
rnacentral:ncRNA from 2 species